CCCUUAGAUGUUCUGGGCUGCACGCGUGCUACACUGAUAUUGCCAAUAUGUCAUUCUUAUCCGAAAUGGAUUGGGUAAUCAAGUAAUGAAAUUUCAUGCUUGGAAUCGGUAAUUGCAAUUUUAUCGUGAACGAGGAAUUCCUAGUAAGCACUAGUCAUCAGCUAAUGUUGAUUAUGUCCCUGCCCUUUGUACACACCGCCCGUCGCUACUACUGAUUGGGUGUUCAAGUGAGAUGCUUAGACCCUUGUUGCAUGGUUCAUUAUUGUGCUCCGAAAGGAAAAAGUUUCAAGCUUUAGUGUCUAGAGGAAGUAAAAGUCGUAACA
rnacentral:rRNA from 1 species